UACGGAGGAUGCGAGCGUUAUCCGGAUUUAUUGGGUUUAAAGGGCGCGUAGGCGGACGCUUAAGUCAGCGGUAAAAUUGCGGGGCUCAACCUCGUCGAGCCGUUGAAACUGGGUGUCUUGAGUGGGCGAGAAGUACGCGGAAUGCGUGGUGUAGCGGUGAAAUGCAUAGAUAUCACGCAGAACUCCGAUUGCGAAGGCAGCGUACCGGCGCCCAACUGACGCUGAAGCACGAAGGCGUGGGUAUCGAACAGG
rnacentral:rRNA from 1 species